CGUCCCUCCGCCAUGCCAUCAUGGAGGCCAGCCUUCUAGAACUGGAACUCUAACCAAACUCUUUGUUUUUAUGAGUUUCCUUGGUCGCAGUGUUUUAUCACAGCAACAAGUGACUAUGACAGCAUCCCUUGAGUUCAGUUGUCUGUGUAACUUGGCUGUGCAGAGGCAAGAAUUUACUACGUCUCAGGGACUCUGACAGGUUGGUCGAUAUUCCUUGGAUUUCUGGAAGGCCCGAAGCAGAUUAAAAAACACAGACUCAGCCGGCAAGUUUACUUGAAGCCCGAGAAGAGAAAUUGGCAAGUGUAUCGCGGUGGUUGGAAUACAGAAUUGGAUUUAAGCGAUCGAGAGAAUGUAUUUGGGGAUGGAUCGUACAAAAUUAACAUCCUGUGGAUGCUCACUAGCUUCCUGGUUUCAUUGGUCCAGUACUUGUUGGAAAGUCAGCCAUGCUUCCCACAUCUUCACAGAAGUAGCGCUGCCUGCUCUGCUUUCUCCUCACAGAUUGUACUCAGGCCUCUCUCUUCUUAAUCCCCAUGGGGUCUCGCUGCUUCAAGCAUGCUUCGAGCAUGCUUCGAGCAGCCUCGCUGGGGCCUUGUUUUCUGGUUUCCUCUCAUGAGAAUCCCAGUAAAGAUGUGGGUCCGCAUAUGCUUCUUGA